ensembl:lncRNA
AUGAGUGUCUGGAGCUGUGAUUAACCAGGCAGCAACACAUCAUUUCCUCCCGGCGCGGAUCCAGGGAGCCGGGGAGGGAGCGGGAAAGGCGGCGCGGCGGGGCGGGGCCGUCCCCGCGCCCCUGCAGGCGCCCGGCCCUGAGGGAGCGGCCCAGCCCCCGAGCCGGCCGGGAGCAAGCCGCCGGGCCCUGCGCCCCGCGCCGUCUGUCUGGCAGGCUGGGGCCGCCGGCGCGGGUCUCCUCGGAGGCGACGGGCAGGCCUGAGCCGGGCUCCCGCGGCUGGGGUGGCAGGAGGAGAGGCCGCGCGGCGCGGGGAGAGCCCAGGAAUCAGGAAAGGAAAUUCCAGGUGAAAUCAAGGAAAGAGUGCCUGUAUGUAACCCUGCUUCAUUGGAACAAUAGAAAGGGGCCCUUGGUGUCCCUUGGCUGAAGUGUCAGCUCUGCCAUUUAUAAACUGUUCUGACCUUGGGCACACUUAAUCUAAGAAGGAAAUAAUGGCUAUCUCAUAAGGUUGUCAUGCAGUUCAAGUGAGACUACACGCAUAGGAAAAGUUUUCAGGCUGCUGUGUAAAUGUCCCUCAAUUAUGUACGUUUACAGUCUUCAUUUUAAAAAAAGGGCUUCUUGUUGGCAACCCUUAUGGUCCUCUAGGUUGUAAGCUCCAUGAGG